UUUGUAAUAAAUAGCACUUUAAAAUACAAUUUCUCAAAGUUCUUGUGAUGUACUGUAACCUUGCGGUUGGCAACGGUAUGGUUGCCAACCUAGAUGUACGUACGCAGGUCACUAUUUGACCAUCAGUUGACUGCCGGCGAUGAUGAAGUAAUGUUGUAUUUUUAUGAAUACAUGACAUUGGCGUGAAGGCCUAAGAUAAUUUAAAAAGGCAACUCUGUCUACGACUACGGGUAAUACUAGCAGUGCCGCACGGCCUCCAUCACUAUCCGCAGCCACUGCUGCUGCCGGAGCGGAAGCGGGAAAGGGACAACAAUUAUUAAGGAUUGUGCCGUUCGACCCCGCCACGAUGGAAUGGCCGUACUGGAAGCUAAGACUGAAGAAUCAUCUCUCCCUGAUCAAAGUACCGACGGAUUACCAUGUGGCCUUUCUUCUGGAUGCCCUGAGUCCGGAGCCAUUCGAAGUUUUGGCAAAGAUGUGCAAGCCGCAAGAACCGCAAGUUCCCCAGACGUUUCCAAUUCGAGUAUUACCCAGUCGAUGCUCGCGCCUUCCCUGGUAAUCCACUGCUUAUUACAGGCAGCGCAUCGACGUUCUACCGCGAACCAAUGUACCAUCCGAUACGCGAUACCCAGGAAAGAUUAUUGGAUAUGUUGCCGACGAAUACGCUGAAGAGUUGGCCAAGGCUGUGGCCAUUUGUGGCUCGCUGCAUGUGGACGGCACGAAGACAUCGCGGGAAGUGUUCGGUGAGCGCGGACACGUGCCUACUUCAUGCCAUACACCUAAUCGGGAGACCAAGGACACACCAGUCGGAAAGGGAUACGACUGCCUCGAUAUAGCAGUGUCGUUGCUGUUCAUAUUACCUAUUUUUCUUCAAAUUUUCCAUCGCUAGUACCAUACGACAGUGUUGUGCGCUAUAGACCUCGCUGUUUCAGCCGGGUUACUGCCCAACGGCCUUUCUGUGUCUUUUUUUGCCACAUAAACGAUCUGUUAUGUACACGAACGUAGGGUGU